ACAGUGAAACCGCGAAUGGCUCAUUAAAUCAGUUAUGGUUUAUUAGAUGGUGCGAUCCUUACUUGGAUAACUGUGGUAAUUCUAGAGCUAAUACAUGCGGCAAAGCUCUGACCCUCGUUGGAACGAGCGCUCUUAUUAGAUCAAGACCAACCGGUGUAGCCUUCGGGCGACCCGACGCGUUUGAUGACUCUGGAUAAUCCUCGCCGAUCGUAUGGCCCCGAGCCGACGACGCAUCUUUCAAAUGUCUGCCCUAUCAACUAUCGUUGGUAGGUGAUAUGCCUACCAAGGUGUUUACGGGUAACGGGGGAUCAGGGUUCGAUCCCGGAGAGGGAGCAUGAGAAACGGCUACCACAUCCAAGGAAGGCAGCAGGCGCGCAAAUUACCCACUCUUAGCACGAGGAGGUAGUGACGAAAAAUAACAAUACGGGACUCUUUCGAGGCCUCGUAAUUGGAAUGAGUACACUCUAAACCCGUUAACGAGGAUCUAUUGGAGGGCAAGUCUGGUGCCAGCAGCCGCGGUAAUUCCAGCUCCAAUAGCGUAUAUUAAAGGUGUUGC
rnacentral:rRNA from 1 species